CCUGGAAAAUAAAAAGCAAAUGAUGCAAAACCCAAGAGCCUCAUGGUUGUUUCAUCUAAGCGUUUGUUUGUUUGGAUGGUUGCUGGACUUUAAGAAGUAACGGCUUCCUUGGAUCACAACAUCGUCUUUGCAAAGAAGCUGCAUCAGACUCGAACAGAGCUCCCGCCAGUGUGAACUCAUUACCCCACAAACACAAACAAACCCCACCCAGUAGCUUUGGUUUGAUGUCACCAGGAGAUCUUAGGAAGCUUAUCUGGAACCAUCUUGUGAACGCCUGAAUUUCCAACAGGCAGACUUGAAAACAAGGAAAGCCGAGACAAACAAAAACACCUGUUGACUGCUAUCAGACAUCUGUACACCUAAAUGCGAGACGUGGGAAUUUUGGAUGAUCUGCAAACUCUUGAAAAAUGUUUUUCGGACUGCUUCCUUUUGAAGUUCUCUGCUCGAUUUCUUAAACAGGCAUCAAAAGGAUAGCAUAGUCUUCCUUUGACCCUCAAGAACCACUAUUUUAUUGGUUAAGACAGUUUGAUAAAUGCUCACAAAGAGUUACUUUAGUAUAUCUUAUGGUUGUAGUAGCACUAUUGUUAUUAUUUUUGACAAAAAGGUGUCAAUAAUGGUAGAAAUCUCCUGAUGUGACCCCCAGGUUUGUGUUAGGUCAAACUGAAGUCAAUGUGAGUUAGCUCAUCUCGCCACUAAACCCUUUUCAAAAGGAAAAAACAAGACUGACAGUUGCAAGAACUCAAACCUUUCAGCAAGAAACUCACUUGCCAAUAAAAAUAAAAAU